GGGAUGUGGCUCAGUGAUAGAGCUUUUGCCUUGUAUGCACAAGGCCCUGGGUUCCAUCCCAGCCCCA
rnacentral:tRNA from 1 species